rnacentral:lncRNA from 1 species
GGGAGAACGGGGCGGGGGGGCGCCUACGGGUGCGUCCUGCGUUGCAACGGUGCUCCUGUGGGGGGUGCACGGCGCUGCAGGCGUGCACGGCAUUGCAAGGGUGCACGGUGUUGCAAGGGUGCACGCGUGGGGGGGGCAUGGUAUUGCAAGGGUGCACCCAGGGGGGUGCACGGUGUUGCAAGGGUGCAUCUAUGGGGGUGCACGGCACUGCAAGGGUGCACGAGUGGGGGUGCACGGCCUUGCAAGGGGUGCCCACGUUGCAAGGGAGCGCCUAUGGGGAUGCAUGACACUGCAAAGGUGCACCUAUUGGGGUGCAUGACAUUGCAAGGGUGCACCCCUGGGGGUGCAUGACAUUGCAAGGGGGUGCACGGCGUUGCAAGGGUGCACCCAGGGGGUUGCACGGCGUUGCAAGGGUGCACGAAUGGAAUUCCACCUACUUGCAAAGGGUGCUCGGCCUUGCAAGGGUGCAUCUAGGGGGGGUGCCCAGCAUUGCAAGGGUGCACCUCGGGGGGUGCCCGGCAUUGCAGCAGUGCCGUGCACGCCCUCGGGGCCGUGGCGGCUGCAGCGCCUGCAGCUCAGUGGCUGCAAAGCGGUGCAGUG